AAUCAAUAAAAAAAUAAGCAAUUUCAAAAAUUUUAAAACACUCAUUCAGUAAGGAAAAACAAGUUGAGAUAAACAACCAUAAUUGUCAAACAACGUGAAAGUAACCCCUAGAACUUGAAAGUCAUAGUACAAAAACUCUAAUUGUCUAAAAUAAGGGGAUGCAACCCCAAAACUCAGAAAAACAUAAAUUUAAAAAGUCCAAGUCCGAAGAGAUGAACUAAGAUGAUAGCAGGAAUUCAUGCAACCUGGAGGAAGUAGCUUACCUUGGAUUUAGAUAUCACGUGUCUCACAACUAAGGUUUCGACGCAGCCGCCUGAGUAUGCACGUACUUAAGAAAGAAAGAGAAAAUGUAGUAUCAGUACACAACCACAGUAUACUGAUAGGAUCAUCAACUAGUUCCAGAAUAAGAAAUAUAAAUCAUGCAACCACAACUUAGUAAAAAAAAAGAUAAUGUACAAUUAUAGCACAAGUACAACAUAACUUGGACUCCUGGUUCUUACCCUGUGUAUUAUGCAUAAUAAACAUGGACAAUCACAUUACAACAAGCCAAAUCUAGUUCUCUCAAGGAAUCCACAUGCAAACUAUUAGUGAUCCGGUGUGAUUCCCGUUCCACUUGUUAGUAUGUACUGGAGUGGUAUCCAUUCCACUCAUUAGUAUGUACAGGCGUGGUACCCGAUACACUCAUAUUAAUAUGUACCGAUGUGGCAGUUGAUCCACUCAUUAAUAUAUUUCAAGGUGGUACCCAAUCCACUCAUCAAACACACAUCACAAUCACAACGACAAUGAAUAACAAUCACUUGUACACCCAAGUAAACACAUCCAUUGCAUUCGACUGACAACCUUUAUCAUUUCAAAUCAUGUUCUUUAAUUUUCCCUAAUUAUGUAUCAUGCAUACAAUACUAAUGAAGCAUUUAACACGCACAUAUGACAUAAACGUGAAACAAACAAUCAUCACCUACCUUGAAAUUAGCCUAAAUGCUCUAAAGAACUUGAGCUUCCCCUUUUUGUAAUGCUUUGACUUGUUCUUGGUCCAAAACAAUAACAAAACACAAUAAACAAUAAACAAUGACCUAAUUAAACCCAAAUUAUUACUUAAUCCUAAUCCUAGGCCAAAUUCAUGAUUAUUUUAUUCAAAUAAGGGUUUUUUCCACCAUUAAUUCAAAUCAACCCCCCUCCCCCAUAAGAGUACCCCUCUAGAUUCUAAGGCUUAAGGAUUGAAAUAGAAGUUAGGGUAGUAAUUAACUUACCUUUACCGAAAAAAUUGGUGGAAAAACUGAAGAUAAUUUCUCCAAGUUGACCUUUCUCUUCCCAAGAACGAAGUUGCAUAUUAAUGAAACGUUUUGAGACUUUUCUUGCAUUAAUUCAUGACUAACCUAUUAUAGCGACCACCAACCCACUGUAGCGAGAAUUAAUUCCCCCGCUAUAGCGAGAAUUAAUUUCCCCGCUAUAGUAGUGUGACAGCCAUUAUAGCAUAUUAGACUGGACAAAAACUUGGGAAUCUCCCCAAAAGUCUCCCUUUCACAACACACCUUCGAAUCUUGAUGCUCUAAACUAACUUUUUCACGUCAAGUCCGAUAUCACAGAGUUCUGCUCACCUGAAUUCACUUUAAAAAAUUCUUAUGGAUUCCUUAAUGUCUUAACUAAUAGAAAACUCAAUCCAAGUUUACACAUACUACCCAUUCUAUUUCCAGAUUGUCCUAGACUGCACAUUGCUCACAUUUCGUUUGAGACUGGACUAGUCUAAAAUUUUUAAGUUACGACUCAAAAGGUUUUCUCACCCAAUUCUUUCAUCAUUGGUCUACCAUAAUGAUCGAAAGGGGUCGUUAUAGAUGUCACGCCCCAAACUCAAGGGGCGCAACUGGCUCCUAAUGCCAGAACUUAGGCCCGAGCCGACCCUGCUGAACCAUUUGCUACUAGCGCAUGGCAGCCACACACAAUCAAGAAAACAAACAAGUAUAUGUCGGCUUAAAACUAAGUCAUCGGCUGGCAAGGCCCCUGUCAACAGAUCUAUAAAAGAAACAGCUACUCCUAAGAGUUCAUAUAAAGAAAUAGCUAACUAGCACAAAAGUCCUCAUUGGGCCGUCGAGGCCAUCAUGAUCUCUAUACCAAAACUAAAAGCAUCUAUAUAUCAAGACAAUACAUCAAACAACUCACAAGCUUAAGCAACCCAACAAACUAAGCCAGUUUGGCCAUAACGUAGCUAUACACCUCACACACUAGUCUGCAAACCUCUAAGAGUAGUAAAGAUUGGCUGGACAAGCCCCAGCCUACCCAUAAAAAUAUAUACAACAAAAGCUAACAAACCUCCCAACUCUGGAAGCUCUGAAGGAAAGGGGCUAGCCAACCAGAGAGAAGUCAAAAGAUAUAUACAACAAAAGGUAACAAACCUCCCAACUCUGGCAGCUCCGGAGGAAAGGGGCUAGCUAACCAGAUAGAAUUAAGUCAAUCUUGCUACUGAAGAGGUCUACUGAGUCGUCUGUCGGGACCUAUAUACAUGAAUGUAGCGCCCCCAGGCAAUGGGGCGUCAGUACAAAAUAAUGCUAACCUAAAAGCAAUUAGGUGAAGAAAUCAAAAUUUAGAUAAGAAUGCUAACCCACUACUGAAUCUAAAAAAAUACAAAAAUGAUCAAACAAUAACCUAACCAAGCCCCCAUAAGCUUGGUAGGUACAAACAACAUACCACCUAUGUAGGCCCCCAUAAGUCCAGAAGGUGCCAAAUCAAUCUACAUAACCCUAUAGGUAGACCCUUGUCUUUGUAUGAAGUCACAUAAACUUUUUGGCAACGAUAUAGCCCGGUAGGCAGCACAUAGCCCUCUUAGGCAACAUCAUAGCUCUGUGGGCUGCACAUAGCCCUCUUUUGCAUCAACAUAGCCCUGUCGGCAACACAUAGCCCUCUUUGGCAUCAAAAUAGCCUCGUAGGCAACACAUAACACUCUUUGACAUCAAUAUAGCCCCGAAGGCAACACAUAGACCUCUUAGGCAAUAACAUAGUCCUAUUAGACAACAUCAACAACUAACCACAAUAGCCUCAAAGGCGACAACAAACAAUUGAAUAAGCUAAAGGCGAACAAUUUAGCUAUAAAUAAUAUAUAUAUAGUUUCCAAGUCAUUCCUAACUUAGGGUCGUUCUUAACAAAUUAUGAGUCCCUAUAAUGAGAGCUUAUAACCACUCAAUCAGCCAACCACUCACAAUUACAUCUACAAGAUCACUAACAUUAACUACCCUAUUAUAUCACUCCCAAGCUCUAAGGAACAUGCCGAACGAAGGGAAGAGCCUUAACAUACCUUUUCCUUUAUAA
rnacentral:lncRNA from 1 species